CGUACGUCGUACGUAAUCGUGGGCGCUCUUGCUCUUUGAUGUACGUGAGCGUGGCUGAGUGCGUUCUUUCAAUCCUCACAAACCUGGAGGAAAGCUGGGGCAGUUGGUGUGACAGGCGUUUGCCAGUGGACACGCUUGAACACCAGUACGUUGUGUAACUUGCACGGGCUCACAAGGCUGAUGAUGAUAGUUCCCUGUCUUUAUGCCAUGCUACUGUACCCCGUGACACUCCCUUCCCCAGAAAUGAUGAUAUGCCCAGAGCCUGACAGAAUUGUUGGUCUAACUUCUUGUAACAUACCAGAGAGAUCAAGAUGCAGAAAAGGAGAGAUUCAGACGCCUCCUCUGGGAGGAACAUACGUUGAGAAGAGUGUUACCUUCCAGACAGUGCAGCAUCUGCUGUCCAGAUGGAUUCUGGGUUCUGAAGCCUUUCCCCCAUAGUGGUUGCAGAUGUCAACAGGUCCAGGGACACCGACCCUAUCAGACCUACCUUCUGGCCCUGCUCACAGUGGAAAGAGGAUGGAGACCAG